rnacentral:sRNA from 1 species
AGGUAAAGUUUGUGGAGGUGGAGUAGAGCCACCUUGGUUCGACAAGCAGCUUUAGCUGCUUGAGCGUCACGCAAGUGACGGCCCGGAGGGUGAGGCUUGUAAAGCCGAGUAAUCCACCUCCUGCCACCA